UUUUAACACUAAUUGGUCUUCUGAUUUCAAUUCAACAUCUAAUCCAGACUGUCACCACAAGAGAGAUAAAUAAAUUAGUGAGCAAAUAUCAUUUUCUGGAAGACAGAUACAAUUAACUAUUUAGGGAUCAAUGCAAAUAAGAAACUAAAAAAUGUGAUAGGAAAAAGUGACAUGCCAUUUUAAUGAAAAUAAAAAUAUGAAAGCAAAAAGUAUUUUAUAAGAAAUUAAGAAAAGAAGCAGUAUAUAAUAGGGAAG